GACGAACGCUGGCGGCGUGCCUAACACAUGCAAGUCGAGCGGGGUUGAAGCGAGGGGUAACUCGGACUUCUACCUAGCGGCGGACGGGUGAGUAACGCGUGGGCAACCUGCCUCAAGGUUUGGGAUAACAGCUCGAAAGGGCUGCUAAUACCGGAUAUGCCUGUGGCCUCGCAUGGGGCUAUGAGCAAAGGGGAAACCCGCCUUGAGAUGGGCCCGCGUCCCAUCAGCUAGUUGGUGAGGUGAAGGCUCACCAAGGCGACGACGGGUAGCCGGCCUGAGAGGGUGACCGGCCACACUGGGACUGAGACACGGCCCAGACUCCUACGGGGGGCAGCAGUGGGGGAUCUUGCACAAUGGGCGAAAGCCUGAUGCAGCGACGCCGCGUGAGCGAAGAAGGCCUCGGUUGUUAAGCUCUGUCUGGAGGGACGAACGAAAUAGACGGUACCUCCGGAGGAAGGCCACGGCUAACUACGUG
rnacentral:rRNA from 1 species